CAGUAGCCGCGGUAAUACAGAGGGUGCAAGCGUUAAUCGGAUUUACUGGGCGUAAAGGGCGCGUAGGUGGUUAUUUAAGUGAGAUGUGAAAUCCCCGGCCUUAACCUGGGAACUGCAUCUUAUACUGGGUAACUGGAGUGCAGUAGAGGGUAGUGGAAUUUCCGGUGUAGCGGUGAAAUGCGUAGAUAUCGGAAGGAACACCAGUGGCGAAGGCGGCUACCUGGACUGAGACUGACACUGAAGCGCGAGAGCGUGGGGAGCAAACAGGAUUAGAGACCCCAGUAGUCCCUGUCUCUUAUAC
rnacentral:rRNA from 1 species